AGACCUACGGGCGCAGCAGUGAGGAAUAUUGGUCAAUGGGCGGUAGCCUGAACCAGCCAAGUAGCGUGAAGGAUGAAGGUUCUAUGGAUUGUAAACUUCUUUUAUAAAGGAAUAAAGUGAGGCACGUGUGCCUUUUUGUAUGUACUUUAUGAAUAAGAAUCGGCUAACUCCGUGCCAGCAGCCGCGGUAAUACGUAGGUUCCGAGCGUUAUCCGGAUUUAUUGGGUUUAAGGGUAGCGUAGAUGGGUCGUUAAGUCAGUUGUGAAAGUUUGCGGCUCAAUCGUAAAAUUGCAAUUGUUACUGACG
rnacentral:rRNA from 1 species